rnacentral:rRNA from 1 species
GACGAACGCUGGCGGCGUGCCUAAUGCAUGCAAGUCGCACGGGGUGGCUUCGGCCGCUCAGUGGCGCACGGCUGAGUAGCCCGUGGGUAUCUGCCCAACCGUGGGGGACAACAGGUGGAAACACCUGCUAAUCCCGCAUACGCUUCUACGGAAGGAAAGCGAGCAAUCGCGCGGUCGGGGGAGCCUGCGCCCCAUCAGGUCGUUGGUGUGGUAACGGCGCACCAAGCCGGUGACGGGUCGCUGGUCUGAGAGGAUGACCAGCCAGACGGGGACUGAGACACGGCCCAGACUCCUACGGGAGGCAGCAGCAAGGGAUUUUCCGCAAUGGGCGCAAGCCUGACGGAGCAACGCCGCGUGGAGGACGACGGCCUUCGGGUUGUAAACUCCUUUUCUGAGGGACGAUGAUGACGGUACCUUAGGAAGAAGCCCCGGCUAACUCCGUGCCAGCCGCCGCCGUAAGAC